GACGAACGCUGGCGGCGCGCUUAACACAUGCAAGUCGAGGGGUGUUUACACCACUGGCGCACGGGUGAGUAACGCGUAGGCAAUCUGCCCCUAUCACAGACAUAACGUCGGGAAACUGGCGCUAAUAUCUGAUGAGGACUCCGGUUCAAAGUAGUGAUAUGGAUAGGGAUGAGCCUGCGUUAGAUUAGCUAGUUGGUGAGGUAACUGCUCACCAAGGCGACGAUCUAUAGCUGGUCUGAGAGGACGAUCAGCCACACUGGAACUGAGACACGGUCCAGACUCCUACGGGAGGCAGCAGUGAGGAAUUUUGGUCAAUGGGCGGAAGCCUGAACCAGCCAUGCCGCGUGCAGGAAGGAGGCCCUACGGGUUGUAAACUGCUUUUACCCGGGAAGAAACCGCCCCUGUGGGGGCGUUGCCGGUACCGGGGAAAAGGAUCGGCUAACUCCGUGCCAGCAGCCGCGGUAAAACGUCUACUA
rnacentral:rRNA from 1 species